CAACAGGAGUUAUAAUACACAAUAACAGCAGUAUACUGUAGGUAGGGGUAAAGUGACUAGGCAACAGGAUUGAUAAUACACAAUAACAGCAGUAUACUGUAGGUAGGGGUAAAGUGACUAGGCAACAGGAGUGAUAAUACACAGUAGCAGCAGUAUACUGUAGGUAGGGGUAAAGUGACUAGGCAACAGGAGUGAUAAUACACAAUAACAGCAGUAUACUGUAGGUAGGGGUAAAGUGACUAGGCAACAGGAGUGAUAAUAAACAAUAACAGCAGUAUACUGUAGGUAGAGGUAAAGUGACUAGGCAACAGGAGUGAUAAUACACAAUAACAGCAGUAUACUGUAGGUAGGGGUAAAGUGACUAGGCAACAGGAGUGAUAAUACACAGUAGCAGCAGUAUACUGUAGGUAGGGGUAAAGUGACUAGGCAACAGGAUUGAUAAUACACAAUAACAGCAGUAUACUGUAGGUAGGGGUAAAGUGACUAGGCAACAGGAUUGAUAAUACACAAUAACAGCAGUAUACUGUAGGUAGGGGUAAAGUGACUAGGCAACAGGAGUGAUAAUACACAAUAACAGCAGUAUACUGUAGGUAGGGGUAAAGUGACUAGGCAACAGGAGUGAUAAUACACAAUAACAGCAGUAUACUGUAGGUAGGGGUAAAGUGACUAGGCAACAGGAUUGAUAAUACACAAUAACAGCAGUAUACUGUAGGUAGGGGUAAAGUGACUAGGCAACAGGAGUGAUAAUACACAAUAACAGCAGUAUACUGUAGGUAGAGGUAAAGUGACUAGGCAACAGGAGUGAUAAUACACAAUAACAGCAGUAUACUGUAGGUAGGGGUAAAGUGACUAGGCAACAGGAGUGAUAAUACACAAUAACAGCAGUAUACUGUAGGUAGGGGUAAAGUGACUAGGCAACAGGAGUGAUAAUACACAAUAACAGCAGUAUACUGUAGGUAGGGGUAAAGUGACUAGGCAACAGGAGUGAUAAUACACAAUAACAGCAGUAUACUGUAGGUAGAGGUAAAGUGACUAGGCAACAGGAGUGAUAAUACACAAUAACAGCAGUAUACUGUAGGUAGGGGUAAAGUGACUAGGCAACAGGAGUGAUAAUACACAAUAACAGCAGUAUACUGUAGGUAGGGGUAAAGUGACUAGGCAACAGGAGUGAUAAUACACAAUAACAGCAGUAUACUGUAGGUAGGGGUAAAGUGACUAGGCAACAGGAGUGAUAAUACACAAUAACAGCAGUAUACUGUAGGUAGGGGUAAAGUGACUAGGCAACAGGAGUGAUAAUACACAGUAGCAGCAGUAUACUGUAGGUAGGGGUAAAGUGACUAGGCAACAGGAGUGAUAAUACACAAUAACAGCAGUAUACUGUAGGUAGGGGUAAAGUGACUAGGCAACAGGAGUGAUAAUACACAAUAACAGCAGUAUACUGUAGGUAGGGGUAAAGUGACUAGGCAACAGGAUUGAUAAUACACAAUAACAGCAGUAUACUGUAGGUAGGGGUAAAGUGACUAGGCAACAGGAGUGAUAAUACACAAUAACAGCAGUAUACUGUAGGUAGGGGUAAAGUGACUAGGCAACAGGAUUGAUAAUACACAAUAACAGCAGUAUACUGUAGGUAGGGGUAAAGUGACUAGGCAACAGGAGUGAUAAUACACAAUAACAGCAGUAUACUGUAGGUAGGGGUAAAGUGACUAGGCAACAGGAGUGAUAAUACACAAUAACAGCAGUAUACUGUAGGUAGGGGUAAAGUGACUAGGCAACAGGAGUGAUAAUACACAAUAACAGCAGUAUACUGUAGGUAGGGGUAAAGUGACUAGGCAACAGGAGUGAUAAUACACAAUAACAGCAGUAUACUGUAGGUAGGGGUAAAGUGACUAGGCAACAGGAGUGAUAAUACACAAUAACAGCAGUAUACUGUAGGUAGGGGUAAAGUGACUAGGCAACAGGAGUGAUAAUACACAAUAACAGCAGUAUACUGUAGGUAGGGGUAAAGUGACUAGGCAACAGGAUUGAUAAUACACAAUAACAGCAGUAUACUGUAGGUAGGGGUAAAGUGACUAGGCAACAGGAGUGAUAAUACACAAUAACAGCAGUAUACUGUAGGUAGGGGUAAAGUGACUAGGCAACAGGAUUGAUAAUACACAAUAACAGCAGUAUACUGUAGGUAGGGGUAAAGUGACUAGGCAACAGGAGUGAUAAUACACAGUAGCAGCAGUAUACUGUAGGUAGGGGUAAAGUGACUAGGCAACAGGAGUGAUAAUACACAAUAACAGCAGUAUACUGUAGGUAGGGGUAAAGUGACUAGGCAACAGGAGUGAUAAUACACAGUAGCAGCAGUAUACUGUAGGUAGGGGUAAAGUGACUAGGCAACAGGAGUGAUAAUACACAAUAACAGCAGUAUACUGUAGGUAGGGGUAAAGUGACUAGGCAACAGGAUUGAUAAUACACAAUAACAGCAGUAUACUGUAGGUAGGGGUAAAGUGACUAGGCAACAGGAGUGAUAAUACACAGUAACAGCAGUAUACUGUAGGUAGGGGUAAAGUGACUAGGCAACAGGAUUGAUAAUACACAAUAACAGCAGUAUACUGUAGGUAGGGGUAAAGUGACUAGGCAACAGGAUUGAUAAUACACAAUAACAGCAGUAUACUGUAGGUAGGGGUAAAGUGACUAGGCAACAGGCUUGAUAAUACACAAUAACAGCAGUAUACUGUAGGUAGGGGUAAAGUGACUAGGCAACAGGAUUGAUAAUACACAAUAACAGCAGUAUACUGUAGGUAGGGGUAAAGUGACUAGGCAACAGGAGUGAUAAUACACAAUAACAGCAGUAUACUGUAGGUAGGGGUAAAGUGACUAGGCAACAGGAGUGAUAAUACACAAUAACAGCAGUAUACUGUAGGUAGGGGUAAAGUGACUAGGCAACAGGAUUGAUAAUACACAAUAACAGCAGUAUACUGUAGGUAGGGGUAAAGUGACUAGGCAACAGGAUUGAUAAUACACAAUAACAGCAGUAUACUGUAGGUAGGGGUAAAGUGACUAGGCAACAGGAGUGAUAAUACACAAUAACAGCAGUAUACUGUAGGUAGGGGUAAAGUGACUAGGCAACAGGAGUGAUAAUACACAGUAGCAGCAGUAUACUGUAGGUAGGGGUAAAGUGACUAGGCAACAGGAGUGAUAAUACACAGUAGCAGCAGUAUACUGUAGGUAGGGGUAAAGUGACUAGGCAACAGGAUUGAUAAUACACAGUAGCAGCAGUAUACUGUAGGUAGGGGUAAAGUGACUAGGCAACAGGAUUGAUAAUACACAAUAACAGCAGUAUACUGUAGGUAGGGGUAAAGUGACUAGGCAACAGGAUUGAUAAUACACAAUAACAGCAGUAUACUGUAGGUAGGGGUAAAGUGACUAGGCAACAGGAUUGAUAAUACACAAUAACAGCAGUAUACUGUAGGUAGGGGUAAAGUGACUAGGCAACAGGAUUGAUAAUACACAAUAACAGCAGUAUACUGUAGGUAGGGGUAAAGUGACUAGGCAACAGGAUUGAUAAUACACAAUAACAGCAGUAUACUGUAGGUAGGGGUAAAGUGACUAGGCAACAGGAUUGAUAAUACACAAUAACAGCAGUAUACUGUAGGUAGGGGUAAAGUGACUAGGCAACAGGAUUGAUAAUACACAAUAACAGCAGUAUACUGUAGGUAGGGGUAAAGUGACUAGGCAACAGGAUUGAUAAUACACAAUAACAGCAGUAUACUGUAGGUAGGGGUAAAGUGACUAGGCAACAGGAUUGAUAAUACACAAUAACAGCAGUAUACUGUAGGUAGGGGUAAAGUGACUAGGCAACAGGAUUGAUAAUACACAAUAACAGCAGUAUACUGUAGGUAGGGGUAAAGUGACUAGGCAACAGGCUUGAUAAUACACAAUAACAGCAGUAUACUGUAGGUAGGGGUAAAGUGACUAGGCAACAGGAUUGAUAAUACACAAUAACAGCAGUAUACUGUAGGUAGGGGUAAAGUGACUAGGCAACAGGAGUGAUAAUACACAAUAACAGCAGUAUACUGUAGGUAGGGGUAAAGUGACUAGGCAACAGGAGUGAUAAUACACAAUAACAGCAGUAUACUGUAGGUAGGGGUAAAGUGACUAGGCAACAGGAUUGAUAAUACACAAUAACAGCAGUAUACUGUAGGUAGGGGUAAAGUGACUAGGCAACAGGAUUGAUAAUACACAAUAACAGCAGUAUACUGUAGGUAGGGGUAAAGUGACUAGGCAACAGGAUUGAUAAUACACAAUAACAGCAGUAUACUGUAGGUAGGGGUAAAGUGACUAGGCAACAGGCUUGAUAAUACACAAUAACAGCAGUAUACUGUAGGUAGGGGUAAAGUGACUAGGCAACAGGAUUGAUAAUACACAAUAACAGCAGUAUACUGUAGGUAGGGGUAAAGUGACUAGGCAACAGGAUUGAUAAUACACAAUAACAGCAGUAUACUGUAGGUAGGGGUAAAGUGACUAGGCAACAGGAUUGAUAAUACACAAUAACAGCAGUAUACUGUAGGUAGGGGUAAAGUGACUAGGCAACAGGAUUGAUAAUACACAAUAACAGCAGUAUACUGUAGGUAGGGGUAAAGUGACUAGGCAACAGGAGUGAUAAUACACAAUAACAGCAGUAUACUGUAGGUAGAGGUAAAGUGACUAGGCAACAGGAUUGAUAAUACACAAUAACAGCAGUAUACUGUAGGUAGGGGUAAAGUGACUAGGCAACAGGAGUGAUAAUACACAGUAGCAGCAGUAUACUGUAGGUAGGGGUAAAGUGACUAGGCAACAGGAUUGAUAAUACACAAUAACAGCAGUAUACUGUAGGUAGGGGUAAAGUGACUAGGCAACAGGAGUGAUAAUACACAAUAACAGCAGUAUACUGUAGGUAGAGGUAAAGUGACUAGGCAACAGGAGUGAUAAUACACAAUAACAGCAGUAUACUGUAGGUAGGGGUAAAGUGACUAGGCAACAGGAGUGAUAAUACACAAUAACAGCAGUAUACUGUAGGUAGAGGUAAAGUGACUAGGCAACAGGAUUGAUAAUACACAAUAACAGCAGUAUACUGUAGGUAGGGGUAAAGUGACUAGGCAACAGGAUUGAUAAUACACAAUAACAGCAGUAUACUGUAGGUAGGGGUAAAGUGACUAGGCAACAGGAGUGAUAAUACACAAUAACAGCAGUAUACUGUAGGUAGGGGUAAAGUGACUAGGCAACAGGAGUGAUAAUACACAAUAACAGCAGUAUACUGUAGGUAGGGGUAAAGUGACUAGGCAACAGGAGUGAUAAUACACAAUAACAGCAGUAUACUGUAGGUAGGGGUAAAGUGACUAGGCAACAGGAGUGAUAAUACACAAUAACAGCAGUAUACUGUAGGUAGGGGUAAAGUGACUAGGCAACAGGAGUGAUAAUACACAAUAACAGCAGUAUACUGUAGGUAGGGGUAAAGUGACUAGGCAACAGGAGUGAUAAUACACAAUAACAGCAGUAUACUGUAGGUAGGGGUAAAGUGACUAGGCAACAGGAGUGAUAAUACACAAUAACAGCAGUAUACUGUAGGUAGGGGUAAAGUGACUAGGCAACAGGAGUGAUAAUACACAAUAACAGCAGUAUACUGUAGGUAGAGGUAAAGUGACUAGGCAACAGGAGUGAUAAAACACAAUAACAGCAGUAUACUGUAGGUAGGGGUAAAGUGACUAGGCAACAGGAUUGAUAAUACACAAUAACAGCAGUAUACUGUAGGUAGGGGUAAAGUGACUAGGCAACAGGAUUGAUAAUACACAAUAACAGCAGUAUACUGUAGGUAGGGGUAAAGUGACUAGGCAACAGGAGUGAUAAUACACAAUAACAGCAGUAUACUGUAGGUAGGGGUAAAGUGACUAGGCAACAGGAUUGAUAAUACACAAUAACAGCAGUAUACUGUAGGUAGGGGUAAAGUGACUAGGCAACAGGAGUGAUAAUACACAAUAACAGCAGUAUACUGUAGGUAGGGGUAAAGUGACUAGGCAACAGGAGUGAUAAUACACAAUAACAGCAGUAUACUGUAGGUAGGGGUAAAGUGACUAGGCAACAGGAGUGAUAAUACACAGUAGCAGCAGUAUACUGUAGGUAGAGGUAAAGUGACUAGGCAACAGGAGUGAUAAUACACAAUAACAGCAGUAUACUGUAGGUAGAGGUAAAGUGACUAGGCAACAGGAGUGAUAAUACACAAUAACAGCAGUAUACUGUAGGUAGGGGUAAAGUGACUAGGCAACAGGAGUGAUAAUACACAAUAACAGCAGUAUACUGUAGGUAGAGGUAAAGUGACUAGGCAACAGGAGUGAUAAUACACAAUAACAGCAGUAUACUGUAGGUAGGGGUAAAGUGACUAGGCAACAGGAGUGAUAAUACACAAUAACAGCAGUAUACUGUAGGUAGGGGUAAAGUGACUAGGCAACAGGAUUGAUAAUACACAAUAACAGCAGUAUACUGUAGGUAGGGGUAAAGUGACUAGGCAACAGGGCUGAUAAUACACAGAAGCAGCAGUGUAUGUGGUGAGUGUGAAAGUGUGUGUUAUCACUUGAACUUGCGGUAGCAGAGAGAACAGUCUAUGGCUUGGGUGGCUGGAGACUUUGACACAUUUUUGGACCUUCCUCUCUGAUGUACAGGGCCAUACUCACCACCCUCUGUAGUGCCUUGCUGUUGGGUGCCAUGCAGUUUCCACACCAAGCGGUGAUGCAGUCAGUCAAGAUGCUCUGAAUGGUGCAGCUGUUAAACUUUUUGAGGAUCUGAGGGCCCAUGCCAAAUCCUUUCCUGUAGUUCACAAUAAGUUUGUUUGUCUUGCUCACAUUGAGGUGGAGGUUGUUGUCCUGGCACCACACUGCCAGGUCUCUGACCUCCUCCCUAUAGGCUGUCUCAUCAUCAUCGGUGAUUAUUGCCUACCCUUACAACCUGGGGGCGGCCCCUCUCCGGAAGUCCAGGAUCCAGUUGCAGAGGGAGGUGUUCAGUCCCAGGGACCUUAGCGUAGUGAUGAGCUUGGAGGGCACUAUGUUGUUGAACGCUGAGCUAUAGUCAAUGAACAGUAUUCUCACAUAGGUGUUCCUUUUGUCCAGGUGGGAAAGGGCAGGCAUCUGUUGAUCUGUUGGGGUGGUAUUUGAAUUGGAGCGGGUCCAGGGUUUCUGAGAUGAUGGUGUUCAUGUGAGCCAUGAUCAGCCUUUCAAAGCAUUUCAUGGCUACAAAUGUGGGCGUUACGAGAAGGUAGUCAUUUAGGCAGGUUACCUUGUCGUUCUUGGGCACAGUGGUCUGCUUGAAACCAGAAGUAUGUGGACAACUGCUCGUCAAACAUCACAUUCCAAAAUUGUGAAAUGUCACGCCAUGAUCUGUUUCACAUGUCCUUGUGCUUGUCUCCACCCCCUCCAGGUGUCACUCAUGUGACACCUCUGUGCCAGUUCAUCUUGUUUGCCAAGUCAACCAGCGUUUAUCUCCUAGCUCCUAUUUUUUCCCUCCUCUGUUUUUUCCAAGUCCUCCUGGUUUUGACCCUGUCCUGACACCAAACCCGCCUGUCUGACCAUUCUUCCUGCCCCGACCUCGAGCCUGCCUAACACCUUGUACUGUUUGGAGACGGACAUGGUUACUGAACCCCUGCCUGUCCUGACCUCGAGACUGUCUAACGCCCUGUACUGUUUGGACUCUGACCUGGUUUAUGAACUCUCGCCUGUACCCGAUCUGCCUUUUGCCUACCCCUUGGGUUAUAAUAGUUAUUGGAGCUCAACCAUCUGCCUCCUGUGUCUGCAUAUGAGUCUCGACUUGUGCCCUUAUAUUAAUAUGGUGUUGGUCCCCCCUUUGCUGCUAUAACAGCCUCCACUCUUCUGGGAAGGUUUUCCACUAGAUGUUGGUAAAUUGCUGCAGGGUAUUGCUUCCAUUCAGCCACAAGAGCAUUAAUGAGGUCAGGCACUGAUGUUGGGCGAUUAGGUCUGGCUCGCAAUCGGUAUUCUCUGAUUGAGAACCAUACUUCAGUAGCCCUUUUUUCCACCUGUCUUUGUGGGAAGUUGACUUUGUUUAGGGCACAUAGCCUUUAGCUUCACGGUUUGUUUUUGUAGUGUUUAUUGUUUUGUUCGGUGUCAUUUUUAUUAAUAAAAGAAAAUGUACGUUCACCACGCUGCACCUUGGUCCUCUUCUUACAACAGCCGUGACAGGUACUGUAUUCUCAUGGUACUGUAUUAUGUUACUGUAUCUUGGUACUGUAUUAACAUGGUACUGUAUUAACAUGGUAUUGUAUCAUCAUGGUAUUGUAUUAUCAUGCUACUGUAUUGUCAUGGUAUUGUAUUAUCAUGCUACUGUAUUGUCAUGGUAUUGUAUUAUCAUGGUACUGUAUCAUUGUAAUGUAUUUACAUGGUACGGGAUUAUGAUCCCUGUUUAAUCUAGCAAGCUGUCCUGGUCCUCCUCCCAUUACUAAUGGAGAUUUCACCAAGGAAAAGAGAGAUGUUGAAGGUGUAAUUAUAGAGGUGUCCUACCAAUGCAGCAGACAGUUUACACUGAGUUUCACAGGCAGCAUCAGAUGUCUGAAUGGAAAAUGGCAGAGUCCUCCAAAGUGUUUACGGCCUUGUGAGAUUUCCACUUUUGAUGCAGAGUACAAUCUACAGAAUUUACCCAAGAAAGAUAAGAUUGCGCACGGUGAAAAAAAGACUCUUCAUUGCAAAGAGGGAUAU